GCUCACAUAGCUCAGUCGGUAGAGCACUUUCUUGGUAAGGAAGAGGUCAUCGGUUCGAUUCCGAUUGUGAGCACCA
rnacentral:tRNA from 2 species